CGCGGCCAGUCCGUCCGCCGAGCUGCGAGCGGCUCGCAGGCAGCCGGGUCCGGGGGGGCUGGCACCGACACUGCCCCCGGGCUGCGGGCGGAGGCGCGUUAUCUCUCUGACAUAGCGCCCUCCCCGCCGCGGGGUCCAACGCGCCGCAUCAUCCCCGCGGCCGCUCCGCGGAGGCGCCGAAACCCGCCGGGAGCGGGGCUGCGGGGCUGCCGGCUGCUGCUCAGCGCCCGCCCCCGCCGGUGCCGCUGCCGGUGCGGAUCUCGGGCAGGGCGGCAGCGAGGAGCCCGCUCGCUAGGCAGGGCGAGCGGCGCCCGAGGAUGCUCCCCUGGCCCGCGGCUGGCAGGGGAGAUGCCCUCCCCGGAGCAGCACCAUUUACGUAAGAUCAGCGCUCACCCCGCUUCAGAAGCGUCUCCCUGGAUUUGAGGGAGGGUUGGGAAGGAGGAAAAAAAAAAAAAAAAAAAAAAGCUCCACCACCGCCAAGCUGAAAGAAGCCAGCGAGGAGCAGGAGGAAAGCCGAUCCGCAGGAACCUACUACUCAACACCAGGCACUGAAUGGAAGAGAUAACACUGUUUGUUAGACUGGUGGCUUGCAUAGGAAAAGAAGGAAUGAAGGUGGAGGAAAAUAAAAAAAUGAGAAAAGGAAAAUUGAGAAGAAAGAAAAAGAUAAUGCAUGA